UACGAAGGGGGCGAGCGUUGUUCGGAUUUACUGGGCGUAAAGAGCGUGUAGGCGGCCAUACAGGUCAGCUGUGAAAACUCGAGGCUCAACCUCGAGACGUCGGUUGAAACCGUAUGGCUAGAGUCCGGAAGAGGAGAGUGGAAUUCCCGGUGUAGCGGUGAAAUGCGCAGAUAUCGGGAAGAACACCCGUGGCGAAGGCGGCUCUCUGGGACGGUACUGACGCUGAGACGCGAAAGCGUGGGGAGCGAACAGG
rnacentral:rRNA from 1 species